rnacentral:lncRNA from 1 species
GAUUUCUUUUCAUUUUUGUUUCUUCUUUUUAUUAUUUUUUAUUUUACUUAUAAUUUUAAUCAAACUUUUGAUUUUUUCUUUCUUUUCACAUUUUAAUUAAUUUCUAUUUAAUAUAAUUAUAUAUUAUUAUUUAUUUUUAUUUUUGACCAUUUCACCCCUUUGUUUAUGAUUAUAUUGGUUGAUGACAAUCUUGAAUAUCAUUGAUUAUUGAUCCUAAGGUUGAUUGAACCUUCAACACUUCAAACAUGUUGAUGAAUGAUCAAUGAAUCAUUCUUGACACUUUGAGGUGUUGAUAGGUUACCCUUGGUUGAUCAUACUGUUGAAU